CAGUAGCCACGGUAAUACGUAGGGUGCAAGCGUUAAUCGGAAUUACUGGGCGUAAAGCGUGCGCAGGCGGUUAUAUAAGACAGAUGUGAAAUCCCCGGGCUCAACCUAGGAACUGCAUUUGUGACUGUAUAGCUAGAGUACGGCAGAGGGGGAUAGAAUUCCGCGUGUAGCAGUGAAAUGCGUAGAUAUGUGGAGGAACACCGAUGGCGAAGGCAAUCCCCUGGGCCUGUACUGACGCUCAUGCACGAAAGCGUGGGGAGCAAACAGGAUUAGAUACCCCCGUAGUCCCUGUCUCUUAUAC
rnacentral:rRNA from 1 species